rnacentral:rRNA from 1 species
ACUCGAGUGGCGAACGGGUGAGUAACACGUGGGUGAUCUGCCCUGCACUUCGGGAUAAGCCUGGGAAACUGGGUCUAAUACCGGAUAGGAGCCAUUUUUAGUGUGAUGGUUGGAAAGUUUUUCGGUGUAGGAUGAGCUCGCGGCCUAUCAGCUUGUUGGUGGGGUAGUGGCUUACCAAGGCUUUGACGGGUAGCCGGCCUGAGAGGGUGACCGGCCACAUUGGGACUGAGAUACGGCCCAG